rnacentral:sRNA from 1 species
GCCGGGCACAGUGGCGAAUGCCUGUAAUCCCAGCAACUUGGGAGGCUGAGGCAGGAGAAUCACAAUUUCAAAGCUGGCCUCAGCAACUUAACAAGGCCCUAAGCAACUCAGCAAGACCAUGUCUCUA